rnacentral:snRNA from 1 species
GGAUGUGAGGGCGAUCUGGCUGUGACAUCUGUCACCCCAUUGAUCGCCAGGGUUGAUUUGGUUGAUCUGGCUGGCUAGGUGGGUGUCUCCUUCCUCCCUCACUACUCCUUGUGCCUCCCUCUGAAGCUGCGGGCUCGGUCGAAGAGGACGACCUUCCCCAAUAUAGGAGGACCAUUCUUUGGUCAAGGGUAUACAAGUAGCUGCACUUCCCUGCUAGAACCACCAAACAAGCUCCGAAAAGGCCUACCCAUGAAUAAUUUAAAAAUCUUCAUACACAUUCAUUUUGAGAUGAUUUCUACUUACU